rnacentral:rRNA from 1 species
CCUACGGGGGGCUGCAGUGGGGAAUAUUGGACAAUGGGGGCAACCCUGAUCCAGCCAUGCCGCGUGUGUGAAGAAGGCCCUCGGGUUGUAAAGCACUUUCAGUGAGGAAGAACGCCUGGUGGUUAAUACCCAUCAGGAAAGACAUCACUCACAGAAGAAGCACCGGCUAACUCCGUGUCAGCAGCCGCGGUAAUACGGAGGGUGCGAGCGUUAAUCGGAAUUACUGGGCGUAAAGCGCGCGUAGGUGGCUUGAUAAGCCGGUUGUGAAAGCCCCGGGCUCAACCUGGGAACGGCAUCCGGAACUGUCAAGCUAGAGUGCAGGAGAGGAAGGUAGAAUUCCCGGUGUAGCGGUGAAAUGCGUAGAGAUCGGGAGGAAUACCAGUGGCGAAGGCGGCCUUCUGGACUGACACUGACACUGAGGUGCGAAAGCGUGGGUAGCAAACAGGAUUAGAUACCCUUGUAGUC